rnacentral:lncRNA from 1 species
AAAAGCUUAAAUUUAAACUAGUGCUAGUAGGUUUCAUGUGAAAUAGUGCUAGUAGGUUUCAUGUAAAAUAGUGUUUGGUGGUAAAAUCUGAACAAGUGCUAGGAUGUUAAAUUUAAACUAGUGCUAGGAGGUAAAAUUUGAACUAGUGCUUGGAGGUUAUAUCUGAACAAGCGCUAAGAGGUUAAAUUCAAUUUACUUCCUCCUUCAAAAUAUGAACUGUCUUAUAAAAAAAUGUCCUUUUUUGAAAAUUUAAUAUGUGAGUUACUGCAGUAAAUCACUGUAUCAGAUUUCAAAGUUUAUUGAUGAGUUGAACCUUUCAUAACUUGAUUGUUUCUGACAUCAUACAUUUACAUCUAUAUUUAUAUCCACUUCACAAUCUUGUCAUUGCAGUCCUCAAUAGUGCUCUGUCCUCAAGUAGUUAGAUGUAGAAUGUUUAAUAAUUUGAUAUGCAGAUUUCCUUCAUGUUCUAUUAAAAUUCACCAAUUUAUUGAUAGAAACACUUUACUCAUUUUCUGGAAAUAAGAGACAUUGAGGUUUAUGCAAAUUAGAUGUUAAUCGGUAAACCAGAAAACUUCCAAUCUAGAAAAACCUGUUUAUUGCAGUUGAAUUUUGUGUGUCCGAAGCGCUAUUCCGAAAUAACAUUCAUUAAGAAUAUUUACUUCCAAAAAUUUGAAAGUUAAGGAUGUAUGAAUAUGUAUAUAUGAGAAGCCUAUAGGGAAUAGCUAGAUCAACAUAAGGUUAAAUUUGCCUGAGGGAGAUGAAAAAUUAGUUUAUUAAAACAUUUAUCAAUAGAUAAUCUAAGAAAAUUGUUAGAUUGUGUUUGUACUGACGCACUGACUACUGAGUGAAAUUUGGCCAUAUGGUUUCAGAAAAACUUAUCAAUAGAGAAUUGAAGAAAAAAUUGUUAUAGAUUGUGUCAUUACUGAUGCACUGACUACCAAGUCAAAUUAGGCCAUAUGGUUUCAGAAAAACUUAUCAAUAGAGAAUUGAAGAAAAAAUUGUUAGAUUAUGUCAUUUCUGACACACUGACUACUGAGUCAAAUUAGGCCAUACGCUAAUGUGUUUUUAUUUGUGUUCAUAAAAUGGUUGUAAAUCUAUAAAAAAGGUCCAUAAUCUCAGUGAUGACCAAGGCAUAUUAUUGUAAAGUCUUAUUAAUGCUAUAAAUAAAGGAAAAUGAUAAAAAAAAGUUGCUAUAAAAAAAUUCUGCAAAGUGCACAAGACAGAUCUUUAAGAUUUUCAAUUUAACAUCAUAUUUUCUAUGUUUUAUUUUUUCUGGCAAAAUCAAUAUAACUUUUCAAGAACAGGCACAUUUAGAUUUUCAUGGUUAUUGUCUCCCCUUUUUCAUGACACCUUAUUUUUAGCAUGAUAUUGUAUUUAUUUAGAUGCUUGAAUGUAUGCAUGUUAAUCUUUUAAUCAGGUAUUACCUAUCUAGUCUAUAUGUUUAAACAGUAAAUUUUCCUGGAAUAUUUCAUUUUGUUCAUAAGGGUCUGGAUAGGGGAUUACAGAAUAAAGAAUGAAGGACAGAAUAAAAGGGCCUGAAAUAGAAAGAAUAAAAAAUAAAAGGCCAAAAAUUCAGAGAAAAAUGCAUGGGAUGCUGAAAUAUAAAAAUAGUGAAAAAUCACAUAGAAAAUAGAUAAAAAAUAAAGAAUUGAAGAAUUCCAAUCCAGACCCUUGUACAGGCUUGUUAAGAUUAUUCUUGUUGCUUGUUAUAUAUAUUUCUAUUGGUCCAUUUAAAAUGUCAACUGUAUUUUUAUUGGCCUAUUCAUCAAAGUCUACUAGUCUAUUUGUGUGAAAAAUAUUUUCCUAGAUUUUUAUUUACCCUUGAAAAUUACCUUAUUUUAUAGUACUGUCUAUAAAAAUUCUUGUCUUAUAUUUUUUUUAAACUUUUUUUCACAAUAUUGAAAAUGAAUAAAUUGAAAAAGGGGGAAGGGGGAGUGAAAAUAUCUAUUAUGUUAUUGCAUGAAAUUUUUAUGAAGAUAGAAUGCACAAGAAUUGUUAAAUUGUAAUAUUUACUGCAUGUAAUUUUUAUCUAUAAGGCCACAACAUUUUAUCUAGUAGUUCUGAAAGUAUCUGUUUUGAUCCAGACUAUUGCACAUCAAUAUUUUCCAUAAUUUUUUUUAUUCUAUAUGCCUCAACAGAAAUAUCAAAAUUC